AACAGAGAAGCCACUUCUGAAGGGCACUUUCCUGUGAAUUCUGGCAAGAUGUCAAAAUGCUCCACUGCCACUCAGAGUGAAGAGCGUUGCCCAGCUCUUCCCCGUGCUCGUCUGCCAGGCCUGGAGCGAUUGCAGAGCUUAUUUUCGGCAGCUGAAGCGGCAGCAGGAGCGGGAGGGGAAGGCUGGGCUAUCAGUCACCGGGAGAUGCUGCUCACUCCCACGGAGGUGUUUACAGGAGGGGCGUGAGUGUGAGCUGCAGCCAGCUGCCAUUAGCAUUGCAGAUCGGGCACUUGUUAGCACAGUGCUUCGCCCCUGCUUUACAAUUUGCUAAUAAUAAAGCAUUUGUUCCCGGCAAACAAA